AAAGGUUGACUUAAUUUGAAAUAACGAUGCAUUUAAUGUUCCAGGGUAAGCAUGUUGGCAAUGGAGUACCUUUUGAAUCUUUCUUUUUGAAACUCUGCAUUACUUUCUACAUGUUUACUAAACCUUUUAAUCAUGUACAUGGCACUCACUGUUGCUGUUUUUCAUAUAUUUCAUACAGGGCAUGGACAUUUCUCCUGAAUGCGAGUUGUCUUCUGGUUGCCAGGUGCCUUCUUGCUUUAACCUGUCAUUGCACUUGAAUGAUUCAGUGGUAUCCUCCUUACUCCAGUCUGAAUUUUGUCUUCAGAUCCUGAUCAUCCUUUCUGAGCUUCUGCUCUCUCAAGUCUGUACCCAGGUACAGCAAGGACUUCUGAUGGUUAAGUGUCACUGAUGACAAAGGCGCUCUCACAAGGAAGGAAGGAAGCCGCUGUUUACAAGAUCCUGCUAUAAAGUGAUUCUGCAAAAUGAGGACUUGUUUUCCCUGCCUUCUGUCUGGUUCAACCCUGAACAAGACCCAAGAGUGCAAAGUUCUCAUUAGUGUUCAGUGAAAUGGGCAAGAACCCCAAGUUGUCCUGGCAGGCUGGGGGGCUGCAGGCAUGGGGGGACCCCGCUGCCAUCGCCAUCUUCCGGCGCCAGCUUGGGCUUUCUGCCACCAUCCGGUGCCCUUUCUGCCGGGCAAAAAUGCACGCUCGUGUCCUGGAAAAAUCUCAGGUUAGCCAAAUGAUCUUUUCUUGACAUUUCUUUUUUUCCCCUGAAGCUUUGGUUGUUGUUAGCUUUGAACAAAAGCAC